GGGGCGGGCGGGCGGCGAGCGCGUUUCCAUGGCACCGAGGCUGCGGGGGCUGCGGGGCCGCGCGGCUCGCCGGGCUCCGGGGCUCCCGGCGGAGCAGGGGCGCAGCUCGGCGGCCGCGGCGCCUCCGGGGCUCGGACGCCGCCCCCGCGCUCGCCGCCGCCGCGCCCCCCUCGGCGCCCCGCGCCCCGCCGGCCCCGCGCGCCAACUUCUGCCCCGCGAGCCCAACUUGUGCGCGGGGCGCGCCGCCGGGGUCCCCGGCCACUCGGGCUGCGCCGCCUGCGCGCUCCUGCCGCCGCCCGCAGCGCCCUGCAGCUCCGCUCGGCCGGUGAAGAAUGCCGAAUAGGUGUUGUCGAAAGGGCAGAGGAGAAGUCUAUGAGAGGAGUCGUAAGAAUUAAAGUGUGCCAGAUGGAAAGAUCCAGUACUACACCACCUACAGACAAGCGUACCACAUGGAGCAACAGCCCGUCUACAAGUGCUGCCCUGGUUGGAGCCAGUGGGACAAUGAACCUGGCUGCCUAUGCUGCGGUGGGAACAUGUUUCAAAGGAAGGAGGUGCUCAGACGGCGAGGCCCAGCAGAGCCAGUAUUCAGAGGGUUUUCAAGGCCCCCACUGUCAAUAUGAACUCCAUGAAGAGGUCUUGGGCUAAUUUAUUCAAUAUAGUGCCAAACGGCCGUGGAACAAGAUGUCAGUGGAAACAUUCCUAACUGCCCGAGGCAGUCAUAUGCCACAGCUGGCACCAUAUUUAAACUACUUCCCCACGUAAGUGCAUAAUUUUGUCACCUGGUGAUAAAGAGCAAAGAGCUACAAAAGGAAAUUUUGCAAAAAAUAGUCUUAUUUUCACUUAGCUAAUGCUGCAACUCUGUCAAUUAGGCCUUUUUAGGUAGAUGAAAACAUUUGUGUGCCAAUUAAAUAACUUAGCAAAUUUCAGCAAGACUCAGCAAAAUUCAGAAUGCCAUUUCCUAAAGAUGCAGCCCCAUUCUUGUUAAACAAAGAUGAUCAGAUGCCAUCUAGGACAUUUAGUGGCUCCUCAGAUACUGAAAAAUUUUAAGUCAAAGAAAAAGCACCACUCUUAACUAAGGAAAGCCAAAAAAAGGUAACAAGGGAAACCAAAAUAUUAAAAACAUGAAAUAAUUUUUCAAAAAUAUGUAUACUGGAGGAGAAAUGAUAAAUUAACUUGAAAUGGUAAAUCUUUUCAUUUUUUAUUUCAAAGUGUAGCUCUG
rnacentral:lncRNA from 1 species